CCUACGGGGGGCUGCAGUGGGGAAUAUUGGGCAAUGGACGCAAGUCUGACCCAGCAACGCCGCGUGAAGGAAGAAGGCUCUCGGGUUGUAAACUUCCUUUAAGGGGGAAGCGCAGAAGACGGUACCCCUUGAAUAAGCCACGGCUAAAGACGUGCCAGCAGCAGCGGUGAUACGAAGGGGGCAAGCAUUGUCCGGAUUGACUGGGUGUAAAGGGCGUGCAGCCGGGAAGACAAGUCAGAUGUGAAAUCCCGGGGCUCAAGCGCGGAACUGCAGUUGAAACUGUUGUUCUUGAGUAUCGGAGAGGUACGCGGAAUGCGUGGUGUAGCGGUGAAAUGCGUAGAUAUUAGGAAGAACACCGGUGGCGAAGGCGGAUUACUGGACGACAACUGACGGUGAGGCGCGAAAGCGUGGGGAGCGAACAGGAUUAGAUACCCCUGUAGUC
rnacentral:rRNA from 1 species